GGUAGAUUUGUGUGUGUACAUUGUAUCAAGUAUCGCAGUGAUCUGUGUUGCAACUGUCAGAUGGUUGUUCUAAGCUUGUACCAGCAUUAUUCAUUAGCAAGGACUAUAGCAUCCAUCAAUAGGGCCACUCUCAGUAGGGUGUAGCCUGUUAUACCGUCUGAGCGCAUGUAAUCGCGUGGGAGUUACCACAGCGUGGCUGACGUAGUUGAGUCAGGAGUGUCCCUUAUUUCUGUUGCUCUCUCGGUCCCUGUCCCAGGGUGUGUUUUACUACCGUAUAUCGCGGUGCUGUAUUCGUGAACCGGUGCUUAGCUAAUGUUAGGAGGUGCAGUCUUCACAAGGUCUCGGUGGUUAGUCAUGCGUCCUGAUUUUGGGUGAUGGAAGCGUAUAUUUAAAAAAAAUUAAUUGAAUUAAUCAAGCA